rnacentral:rRNA from 2 species
CAAGGCGACGAUCCCUAGCUGGUCUGAGAGGAUGACCAGCCACACUGGAACUGAGACACGGUCCAGACUCCUACGGGAGGCAGCAGUGGGGAAUAUUGCACAAUGGGCGCAAGCCUGAUGCAGCCAUGCCGCGUGUAUGAAGAAGGCCUUCGGGUUGUAAAGUACUUUCAGCGGGGAGGAAGGUGUUGUGGUUAAUAACCGCAGCAAUUGACGUUACCCGCAGAAGAAGCACCGGCUAACUCCGUGCCAGCAGCCGCGGUAAUACGGAGGGUGCAAGCGUUAAUCGGAAUUACUGGGCGUAAAGCGCACGCAGGCGGUCUGUCAAGUCGGA